rnacentral:rRNA from 1 species
UACGAAGGGGGCUAGCGUUGCUCGAAAUCACUGGGCGUAAAGCGCACGUAGGCGGAUUGCUAAGUCAGGGGUGAAAUCCUGGAGCUCAACUCCAGAACUGCCUUUGAUACUGGCGAUCUUGAGUCCGGGAGAGGUGAGUGGAACUGCGAGUGUAGAGGUGAAAUUCGUAGAUAUUCGCAAGAACACCAGUGGCGAAGGCGGCUCACUGGCCCGGUACUGACGCUGAGGUGCGAAAGCGUGGGGAGCAAACAGG